UUGAGGUAACCUCCACUUAUCUCUGUCUGCAACUGAUUAAUAGUGAUGGAUGGUGCACAUGCAUCUCUCUGUCAUGGCUUCACCUUUAAUUGUGUCACGGUUGACUUUUCAUCCAGCCAUUUAUGUUCUUGCUCAGGCAGUCAAGAUGUUAAAUAUGGUGUCAAAUAGAGGGAAUUUGUAAUAAUGCUCACGUUCGGAGCUUGAAAGCUGAGUAUUGAUGGCAUUGAGAGGUCAAAUUCUACAUGAAGAAGGCUGUAGGCCAGACGGUGUAGUUUUCAACUUAACUUGAUGAGCAGCAGGAUCUCCAGUGAGGCGUUGUGAUGUUAGUGACAGGAAACUAGAGGAAGAGAUGGAAACAGACCUCCAGCAACAACAUGACCGACUUCCACGAGAAGAAGAAACGAGUAGGAGCUCAUCUCACCAUCAGUGUCAGAGGUCAGAAUGAUGAGGAAGGAGGUGACGGACGCGCCGAGAGAAGAGAGAGAGAAACGAACAGGAAAACAUGACAGGAAUCUCACUGGAAAAGGCUGUUUGGACUCUCAUUCUGACGGCACCCAUUCACUGCAGAGGAUCCAUUGGUGAGCAAGUGAUGGAAUGACACAUUUCUCUAAAUCUGAUGAAGAAACAAACUAAUCUACAUCUUGGAUGGCCUGAG